UCGGAGUUUAUGCUAGCAGUAGGGAGGCAAGAUGUUGAAGCACUUUCGGAAACAAUUCAACCCGAGGGGAGCGCCACAAGUGAGGAAAAUCAGUGGAGUUGCUGCCCACCGAAGCUAACACCUCAGCGGCUAACGAAGAACCGUUUAACGUUACACGUUUCCACAGCCCGACGGUGCCACCAGUUUAGGCCUUCGUUUUAUUUACAGCGUCUCCCACAUGUUUAUACAAAAGUACAAAGCGCUCACAUGUGAGGGUUUAAAGACAACUGCUGAUUGGAAUAUAAUGUCAAGAAGAUCUGCUGCAUACUGUCUGUAGGGUUUUGACAAACAUUUUCACUGGACAUCCAGGAGCCACGCUUCACAGAUGGUUCGCUGCUGACUUUUGAGAGAGCCCUUCCUUACCUGCGAGAGAUGUCUGACGAAUAUCAAUUAUUAAUUGAUAUUGUUAAUUAACAAUUGUUAAUUCAACUCCAACACUAGCUGACUGCAACUAAUGUGGUGAUGACUGAUGGGGAUGAAAAGCACACAGGGGCAUUGAGGAAAGAAGGCAUCACUCAAGCCCACAGCAUUGGAUGGAAGGAUGGGGGUUAUUUAUAAGCGUUUAGGGGGCACACCUGCCUCUGGAAUAUCACUACACAAUACCAGCUACUGUUGCCAGGCCUUCACUUCUCAUCAUACAUCAGCAGUGACUGUCAGACUAAGAAUAACUACUGGAACAAAGCAGCUGAGGUCCACCUUUUAUUAGUUCCUCUUCUUUCGGAAGGCUCCUCAGCUUCCUGCUCUACCAGAAACAUGUCAGUGUUGUCUUCUAUUUCUUACAGUGCUUAUAUUUGAAAGUGGGGUGCUCCUGUGUUUUCUUCAAAGCUCUGAGACAAUAGAACCUUUUUAAUAUUUUUACUUAGAAGUAGUGCCAGGCCUGAAAAUUUAACCUGUACAGUCUGUUUAGUGCCUGAUUACUUUAGAUCUCUAAUGCAAUUCAAUUUGGGUGCACUUCCCCAGAGCACCUGAGGCACAAAAUAUAUAAUGAGUUUGUACUUGUGCCAGGUGAAACAUAAAUGGCAAGCCAACAGUGAAUAAAUAUUUUCAGCACACUCAGAAUGACUUAUCAUGUUUUAUUAAUCAUUAAUGCUAAUUCACAAUUCAUGCUUGCUCUGUGCCUUUACUUGCAUAACUUAUGAAUAAAAACCAGAGCCAAUGUGACAAACAUGUA